rnacentral:lncRNA from 13 species
GUGAAAAAAUAUCUCUUCUCUGGAAAUUCAUUUCCAUUUACUUAAAGUUAAAUGGUUUGACUUUGAAUUUUCAUUAUCUGCUGUUGGAAGGAGUCUGUGACAGGUGAAGAAGAAUCUGUGAGUGGGAAUAAUGCAAAAUAAUUUGACUUUUGAGAGACUCCAAACUCUUCAAACCACUGUUAUAACAGAUGAUGCUUGACGUUGCCAAUCAUUCUGUCUUCCUUUUACUUGAUCAAGAUUUUAUUUUCAAAGACACAUUUGUAAACACCAAAUGGAGAAGAGGGGAGGAAGGACAGAAAGUGGAGAACAGGAGGGAAAGGAAAUGCAGUUUUGCAGCUUCUUCUGUAAGUCUUUCCCAUAAUAUGCAUAGCUUUGGUCCAUUAAUUUCUGUAUUUCUCUUCUGCCACCAACUAUUUUUGUUCUGCCAAGAGCAUACUUUUACAGGCAUUUUACAGAUUUUGGAUACGCUUUUCCUCAUCAGCUUUCCCUUUUCCUGUGCUUACUGA